GCCAGUGCCACCAGCGGCUGCUAGCGAGCGCCUUCCUCAUCCGGAGUCCCUCCGCGUUGCUGCGCUGUGCGUGUGCUGUGCAGAUCAUAUCAUCGCCGAAUCAUGAAACUUUGCUAAGAAGGGGAUGGAAAAUUUGGCAGCCAAGGAAGGGCGUCGCGUGCUGUCCUUGAACUAUGCGAUGACAAUCCUCUCGGCUCUUAUUAUUCUUUCUCGGAAUCUCCACCAUCACCACCACCUUUGCCUUUCCAUUUUCUUUAUUUCCCAUAAAAAAUCAAUCUUUGCUAAA